rnacentral:rRNA from 1 species
CCUACGGGGGGCAGCAGUGGGGAAUAUUGGACAAUGGGGGCAACCCUGAUCCAGCCAUGCCGCGUGUGUGAAGAAGGCCCUCGGGUUGUAAAGCACUUUCAGUGAGGAAGAACGCCUGGUGGUUAAUACCCAUCAGGAAAGACAUCACUCACAGAAGAAGCACCGGCUAACUCCGUGCCAGCAGCCGCGGUAAUACGGAGGGUGCGAGCGUUAAUCGGAAUUACUGGGCGUAAAGCGCGCGUAGGUGGCUUGAUAAGCCGGUUGUGAAAGCCCCGGGCUCAACCUGGGAACGGCAUCCGGAACUGUCAAGCUAGAGUGCAGGAGAGGAAGGUAGAAUUCCCGGUGUAGCGGUGAAAUGCGUAGAGAUCGGGAGGAAUACCAGUGGUGAAGGCGGCCUUCUGGACUGACACUGACACUGAGGUGCGAAAGCGUGGGUAGCAAACAGGAUUAGAUACCCGUGUAGUC